AUUGAACGCUGGCGGCAGGCCUAACACAUGCAAGUCGAGCGGUAGCACAGGGAGCUUGCUCCUGGGUGACGAGCGGCGGACGGGUGAGUAAUGUCUGGGAAACUGCCUGAUGGAGGGGGAUAACUACUGGAAACGGUAGCUAAUACCGCAUAACGUCGCAAGACCAAAGAGGGGGACCUUCGGGCCUCUUGCCAUCAGAUGUGCCCAGAUGGGAUUAGCUAGUAGGUGGGGUAACGGCUCACCUAGGCGACGAUCCCUAGCUGGUCUGAGAGGAUGACCAGCCACACUGGAACUGAGACACGGUCCAGACGCCUACGGGAGGCAGCAGUGGGGAAUAUUGCACAAUGGGCGCAAGCCUGAUGCAGCCAUGCCGCGUGUAUGAAGAAGGCCUUCGGGUUGUAAAGUACUUUCAGCGGGGAGGAAGGCGAUAAGGUUAAUAACCUUGUCGAUUGACGUUACCCGCAGAAGAAGCACCGGCUAACUCCGUGCCAGCAGCCGCGGUAAGAC
rnacentral:rRNA from 1 species